rnacentral:rRNA from 1 species
GAUGAACGCUGGCGGCGUGCCUAAUACAUGCAAGUCGAGCGAACAGAUGAGGAGCUUGCUCCUCUGACGUUAGCGGCGGACGGGUGAGUAACACGUGGAUCACCUACCUAUAAGACUGGGAUAACUUCGGGAAACCGGAGCUAAUACCGGAUAAUAUAUUGAACCGCAUGGUUCAAUAGUGAAAGACGGUUUUGCUGUCACUUAUAGCUGGAUCCGCGCCGCAUUAGCUAGUUGGUAAGGUAACGGCUUACCAAGGCGACGAUGCGUAGCCGACCUGAGAGGGGGAUCGGCCGCACUGGAACUGAGACACGCUCCAGACGCCUACGGGAGGCAGCAGUAGGGAACCGUCCGCAGUGGGCGAAAGCUUGACGGAGCAGCGCCGCGUGAGUGAUGAAGGUCUUCGGAGCGUAAAACUGGGUUAUGGGGUAAGAACAAAUGUGGAAGUAACUAUGCACUGCUUGACGGUACCGAAUCAGAAAGCCACGGCUAACUACGUG